UACGGAGGGUGCGAGCGUUGUCCGGAAUCACUGGGCGUAAAGGGCGCGUAGGUGGCCUGUGGAAGUCUGCGGUGAAAGCCCGGCGCUCAACGCCGGGUCGGCCGUGGAUACUCUCGGGCUCGAGCUUACUAGAGGCAGAUGGAAUUCCGGGUGUAGCGGUGGAAUGCGUAGAGAUCCGGAAGAACACCGGGUGGCGAAGGCGGUCUGCUGGGGUAAUGCUGACACUGAUGCGCGGACAGCGUGGGGAGCAAACAGG
rnacentral:rRNA from 1 species